AUUGAACGCUGGCGGCAUGCCUUACACAUGCAAGUCGAACGGCAGCACGGGAGCAAUCCUGGUGGCGAGUGGCGAACGGGUGAGUAAUAUAUCGGAACGUGCCCAGUAGUGGGGGGAUAGCCCGGCGAAAGCCGGAUUAAUACCGCAUACGACCUGUGGGUGAAAGCGGGGGAUCGCAAGACCUCGCGCUAUUGGAGCGGCCGAUAUCAGAUUAGCUUGUUGGUGGGUAAAAGCCCACCAAGGCGACGAUCUGUAGCUGGUCUGAGAGGACGACCAGCCACACUGGGACUGAGACACGGCCCAGACUCCUACGGGAGGCAGCAGUGGGGAAUUUUGGACAAUGGGCGCAAGCCUGAUCCAGCCAUGCCGCGUGUGGGAAGAAGGCCUGAGGGUUGUAAAGCACUUUAGUUGGGGAGGAAGAGCCUGUAUAUGAAUAAGAUAUAGGAGUGACGUUACCCAAAGAAUAAGCACCGGCUAACUCUGUGCCAGCAGCCG
rnacentral:rRNA from 1 species